GACUAGGGUGUUGGAUCCCCUGAGGAUUGUGAGCUGCCAGGUGGGUGCUGGGAACAGCCUGUAUCUUCUGCAAGAACAACUAGUGUCUUAACCACCGAGGCAUCUCCCUAGCCCUGGAGACUUUUGACUUUCAGCAGAUGAAGGGACUCAGGCAGGAGGGUUCCUUUCCCUUCCGCGUAUCCUUCAUUUCCUGUCUUUCCGCCCUGCCCCAGAGGCUGAAUUGCACAGGUACUCUAUUAGUUACCUAAGACAGCCUUCUGCCCUCACAGCUGCAGAGCCACAGAACGGCUGUACACUGACCAGCACAUUAACAGUGUAUCAACAUGACGGUUUUCUGUCUGAACUUUAAGGAUUCCCAUCGUUUAUCCUAGAGAUGUCCCUCCUAUGAGUCUAUCUUACAGAAACUCUUUUUUUUUUUAUAAUCAGAAUACACACACACACACACACACACACACACACAGAGAGAGAGAGAGAGAGAGAGAGAGAGAGAGAGAGAGAGAGAGAGUAGAAACGGGGAAAUAUAAAUGUACUAUAGGAUGAGUUAAAUAUAGUAAAAAUUCUAUGUAAUUAUCAAAGAAAGUGACUGAUUAAUGUGCAAAUGAUGCAAUGAAAUGUUCAAGAUACUUUUAAAUAAGCCGGACAGUGGUGGUGGACACCUUUAAUCCCAGCACUCAGGAGGCGGAAGCAGGCAGAUUUCUGAGCCUGGUCUACACAGCAAGUUCCAAGACAGCUAGGGUUACAUAGAAAAGAAAAAAAGGAAAAUGAAAAACAAAACAAAACACCACCUUGAAAACCAAAAAAGAAAAAAUGUACUUUCAAACACAAAAAGCGUCUGUGGCUGUGUACGAUGGCCAGCUCCAGGGAGGCUCCUGCUUCCUCCAUCAUUUCCUCUAGCCCCCAUUCCACAAAAUCAUGCCACGUAAAUAUCACCCUAAAUACUUAACUGCUUACCAGAGGAUUCAGUUUCUCCCUAAAUCUUCCCAUCUUACCAGAUUGCCUCUCCUAAACCUCACAGAUAGUCUCUAGAUGCCACGAGGUACAAUGUAUCUAUCCUGUUGUGUCUUGUCUAUAUUGGAGGAGGAUUCACAAAGCUGUUGACAGGGAUUACCUCUGAAGACUUGUAGGACAAGGACAGAUCCAAAAGGCUAAGAGACGACGACGACGAUGAUGAUUCCAGGAAAUAACUGUGUGAAGUCAUGGGUCAGAUUGUACCAUUUCCACCUUCAGAGGAUUCAGUUGACAUGAUCCCCAAGUACGUGGACUGGGGCCACCCAAACGUCAUUUUCUGUAUACUGUAAAGAGUUUUUGGAGAGCUGGAGAGAUGGCUUACAGGAUAAAAGCCCUUUGCCAUGCAAACCAGAUGACCUGAGUUAGAUCCUUGGGAUCUACAUAAUCUACAUAUAGAAGGAUUGCCUCAGGUUCCCUGAGAAUUACUACACUUCAAAUAUUCCUCCAGCACAUUUGAUAGAAGCUCCCCACAUGAUCUCAUCUAAUGAGGGAGAGGUUGAGAGACCAGAGGCCCAGACCCUGGCUGUAUUCAGGGCAACUCGGAAGGACCAAUCCAGCCCUAGAAUUCCCUACAGGAUCAGCCAAGACCCCUGCUGUAUUUACAUCGUAAUCCAACGUCUUUCUCUGCCAGUCAGGUCACUGGAACUCAUGGAGUACUUAUUGUUCCUGCUGGUGAUCCCAAAAACCUUCCCGCAUGUAUCAAAGGAAGAUCAGAGCUAGACAGUGAUGCGGUAAAAACAGGUUUUAGUCAGAAGUGGCCUCAGGUCAGAGCUGGGCUCCAUCCUGAAUUCCACAAGGACAAAUGGGGACCUCGUGACAAGGAAGAGGCGCAAUGGGUGGGACAUUAUUAAGAUGAAAACGGGCUGGGUUGGGGUAACUCUGGCCAAAUCGACUUGACAGGACAUUUCUUUUUUCAGAAAUGUACUCUUUGUAUGGGGCAUUUGCACACGUGAACUCAGAGCCGUGUGAGAGAGGGCACAAGACCUGGGAAAGCUCAAGCUGGAUGAGAUCUCAGCAUGGAGGGGGAAGGGCACGAAGUCUCAGUCCUUGCUGAUCACAACUGGUGAUCCACAGCUGCCAAUAGAGGGAGAGCUACUUUUCUUUGAGGGCGUGGCCCCUGGUGGGUAGUCACACCGUAUGUAGGCAUGUAUAGGCACACAAGCGUAUGUAGGCAGCAUAGUCGGACUUGAUGGUUAAAAAAGACAAUGAAGACACAAAGCUGGAGAGGGAGGAGAUGUGGGGUGGAUCUGGGAGAGGUUGGGUAAGGGAUGAAUAUGGUUAAAACAUAAUUUAUGGAAUUCUGAAAAAAAUAAAUUGUAUUUUGUAAAUUUA